rnacentral:rRNA from 1 species
CGUACGAUACGUAGUUUGACUCGUGCUCGAGAUGACGCUAGCGGCAGGCCUAAUACAUGCAAGUCGAACGGAUAUAUGUUUUCGGAAUAUAUAUUAGUGGCGCACGGGUGAGUAACACGUACAUAACUUGCCCUCAAGCGGGGGAUAGCCUUGGGAAACUGAGAGUGAUACCCCAUAGAAUUAUUGGACGGCAUCGUUUGAUAAUUAAAACUACGGUGUUUGGGGAUAGAUGUGCGUCUGAUUAGCUAGUUGGUGAGGUAACUGCUCACCAAGGCGACGAUCAGUAGGGGGCGUGAGAGCGUGGCCCCCCACACGGGUACUGAGACACGGACCCGACUCCUACGGGAGGCAGCAGUAAGGAAUAUUGGUCAAUGGAGGGAACUCUGAACCAGCCAUGCCGCGUGAAGGAUGACGGCCCUCUGGGUUGUAAACUUCUUUUGGAUGGGGCGAAAAAACGGGAUUUAUCCUGGACUGACGGUACCAUCAGAAUAAGCACCGGCUAACUCCGUG